UCUCCCCCUCCAACCCUACCCCGCCGGCCGCCGCCGCCACCGCUGCUGCUCGCCCUUGCCUCCCGCGCGCCGCCGUCUCCCGGUCAUCCUCGCUCGCGUACUCUGCCGCAUCUCCCGCGCCAGCAGAUCGACGCAGCCGGGCCCGUCCACCGCGUCUCCCUGCCGCCCAGCUCGUCCCCGGCCUCCGCCCAGGUCUGUACUCUGAGGGUUACUUUCAUUUGCGUUGAAAGCUAUGUGGGUCAUUUGUCACGGCCACAGAUGCGGCCCCGGAGCUGUCGGGUUCACCGUGACACAGGUGGAGCAGAUGAAGGUGGAGGCGUGAGUAGCCGACAUCUACUGCGUCCUCUUCGACGCCGCGCCCAACGCCAAGUCUAUCAUGCUAGAGCUGUGGUGCAAUCAGCAUGUCGAGUAUUUGACGAAAGGGCUCGAUGCCGAGUAUUGCUUCUCCAAUGUAAAAUUAACUCGAGUGUCGUCCCUGGUUAUUAUUUUGCUUGACAGUUUUCAUUCCAGUCGACCUUGGUUAUUAUGCUAUUGGAUGGUUCAUGGACUCGUGUUGCUGGAUGAAACGCUUGGCGAUGACCUCGAGAACGAUAUUGUAGACUUCUUGUCUCGAUGCCAGGAUAGGUUCAAGCCAAGUAGCUAACAUCCCCUUCUACCCAAGGUCAAGCAUUCAGCGGCGGCAUCAGAGGAGACAUCGUCACGCGGAAGCCCCUUCUCUGGACAAGCAAAAGCUCUGGCCGCCAUGGAUGCCAAUGAGAUUCUCGACCAAGGUUCACCUGGGCCUGCAUCCUCCAAAAACAAGAUGCAUCCACUUAUCAAGAUACGAAGUCUACUCGCCAGGAGGAGCAUGAAUAGUACAUCGAGAGAGGAAGUAGGAGUUCUCCGAAAUGAUCAUCUACAAGCACAGUACAUAUUUGUUGAUUGCUAGCACUAUCUAUGUUUCCAUAGCAUUGUUUCCAACUCAUGUAACACCUAUUUUUACAAUUUAAGGUAUGAACUACCUGGCUUUAUUUUGAACUUAUGUACUGAUGUAGAAUGAUGGCUCCUGUUUUUUACUUGCUGGUAUGAACUGUUUCGUUGUAUUUUGUAAAGCUCAAGAAUUUACUUAUGAUGCUAACUAACAUUGCUACAACAUUUGUAUAGAGUACCUCUAAUAAUUAUCCUUUCCUUGUCGUUUGGCUUUUUUUUUGUACAAUUGCUCAUUAUCUUAUCAAUGUUGAAGCUACAUAUAUUAGAAACACUUAUUAAUUACAUUGCGUUGGAUGCAAGCUGUUGUUCUGCUUGCUGGUACCUCUUUUGAAAUACUAGGUGUUUGAUCAGCACCUAAGGCAGAUAGCUAGCGCACUUCCU